CCUACGGGAGGCAGCAGUGGGGAAUAUUGCGCAAUGGGCGAAAGCCUGACGCAGCGACGCCGCGUGAGGGAUGAAGGUCUUCGGAUCGUAAACCUCUGUCAGCAGGGAAGAACGGUCACUGUGCUAAUCAGCAGUGAAUUGACGGUACCUGCAAAGGAAGCACCGGCUAACUCCGUGCCAGCAGCCGCGGUAAUACGGAGGGUGCGAGCGUUAAUCGGAAUUACUGGGCGUAAAGCGCUCGUAGGCGGUAUGUCAAGUCAAGGGUGAAAUCCCCGCGCUCAACGUGGGAAGUGCCUUUGAAACUGGCAAACUGGAGUGUGUGAGAGGAUAGUGGAAUUCCAGGUGUAGGGGUGAAAGCCGUAGAUAUCUGGAGGAACAUCAGUGGCGAAGGCGACUAUCUGGCACAUAACUGACGCUGAGGAGCGAAAGCGUGGGUAGCAAACAGGAUUAGAUACCCGAGUAGUC
rnacentral:rRNA from 1 species